UUUAAGUGUAGCCAUAAAUUUCUGUGUCCAAUAUUUCACUGUUCGUCUUAUUUGAAAAAUAUAUAAAAAAAUUUUAAAAAUUAAGUCACGCAUAAAAUACUAUUCAUGUUUUAUCAUCUAAUAACAAUAAAAAUAGUAAUCAUAAAAAAAUUUUCAAAUAAAACAAAAAAUAUUCAAAUAAAACGGAUGGUCAAACGUGGGCAUUGAAACCCACGACUGUGUUUAAU
rfam:Oryza barthii chromosome 9, whole genome shotgun sequence.